rnacentral:rRNA from 1 species
UACAGAGGGUGCGAGCGUUAAUCGGAAUUACUGGGCGUAAAGCGUGCGUAGACGGUUAUUUAAGUCGGGUGUGAAAGCCCCGGGCUCAACCUGGGAAUUGCAUUCGAGACUGAAUAGCUAGGGUACGGUAGAGGGAAGUGGAAUUUCCGGUGUAGCGGUGAAAUGCGUAGAUAUCCGGAGGAACACCGGUGGCGAAGGCGGCUUCCUGGACCGAUACUGACGCUGAGGCGCGAAAGCUAGGGGAGCAAACGGG